rnacentral:rRNA from 1 species
AACGAACGCUGGCGGCGUGCCUAACACAUGCAAGUAGAGCGAGUGGCGAACGGGUGAGUAAUGUAUGGGGACUGCCCGAUAGAGGGGGAUAACUACUGGAAACGGUAGCUAAUACCGCAUACUAUCGGAUAACCCAUAUGGGAUUAGCUAGUAGGUGAGGUAAUGGCUCACCUAGGCGACGAUCCCUAGCUGGUCUGAGAGGAUGAUCAGCCACACUGGGACUGAGACACGGCCCAGACUCCUACGGAGGCAGCAGUGGGGAAUAUUGCACAAUGGGCGCAAGCCUGAUGCAGCCAUGCCGCGUGUAUGAAGAAGGCCCUAGGGUUGUAAAGUACUUUCAGUCGGGAGGCGUUACCGACAGAAGAAGCACCGGCUAACUCCGUGCCAGCAGCCGCGGUAAUAC